UACGUAGGGUCCGAGCGUUGUCCGGAAUUACUGGGCGUAAAGAGCUCGUAGGUGGUUUGUCGCGUUGUUCGUGAAAACUCACAGCUUAACUGUGGGCGUGCGGGCGAUACGGGCAGACUGGAGUACUGCAGGGGAGACUGGAAGUUCCUGGUGUAGCGGUGGAAUGCGCAGAUAUCAGGAGGAACACCGGUGGCGAAAGG
rnacentral:rRNA from 1 species